rnacentral:misc_RNA from 1 species
GUCCGAUCCAACGAUCCCAAAAUUGCCUGCUUGUCCAUUUUCGUUUUCCUUAGUUUCAGUACCACCACACAUUGACAAGGUAAGAGAUGAGAGUGGCAGUAGCUUCUCCCUUGAAGAAACACAACACUCGUGGGCAAUUCCGCCGCUGCUCUCUCCCGCUGCUGAUGACCAAACAUCUAAGAAGUGCCGUGUCUCUUGUGCUUGUGUCUGGUUGCUGGGAUUUAGCGUUACUUCCAAGGAGGUUAUUGAUUUGGGGCUUAAUAACAAGCUG